UGGGGAAUAUUGGACAAUGGAGGGAACUCUGAUCCAGCAAUUCUGUGUGUGUGAAGAAGGUUCUAGGCCUGUAAAACACUUUUAGUAGGGAAGAAAAAAAUGACGGUACCUACAGAAGAAGCAACGGCUAAAUACGUGCCAGCAGCCGCGGUAAUACGUAUGUUGCGAGCGUUAUCCGGAAUUAUUGGGCUUAAAGGGCAUCUAGGCGGUAAGACAAGUUGAAGGUGAAAACCUGUGGCUCAACCAUAGGCUUGCCUACAAAACUGUUGAACUAGAGUACUGGAAAGGUGGGUGGAACUACACGAGUAGAGGUGAAAUUCGUAGAUAUGUGUAGGAAUGCCGAUGAUGAAGAUAACUCACUGGACAGAAACUGACGCUGAAGUGCGAAAGCUAGGGGAGCAAACAGG
rnacentral:rRNA from 1 species